rnacentral:rRNA from 1 species
AUUGAACGCUGGCGGCAGGCCUAACACAUGCAAGUCGAACGAGAGGCGGACGGGCGGGCAGUGUCUGGGAAACUGCCUGAUGUAGGCGGCUGACUGCUGGAAACCGUAGCUAAUACCGCAUACCAUCGUAUGUGCCGAGAUGGGAUGAGAUAGUCGGUGGGGAAAAGGCUCCACGAGGCGACGAUGCCUCGCUGGCCUGAGAGGGUGACCGGCCACACUGGAACUGAGACACGGUCCAGACUCCUACGGGAGGCAGCAGUGGGGAAUCUUGCACAAUGGGCGAAAGCCUGAUGCAGCAAUGCCGCGUUGAUGAAGAAGGCUUUCGGGUUGUAAAGUACUUUUGGCGGAGAAGCGUUACCCAAAGAGAAAGCAACGGCUAACUCCGUGCCAGCAGCCGCGGUAAUUC